rnacentral:rRNA from 1 species
GACGAACGCUGGCGGCGUGCCUAAUACAUGCAAGUAGAACGCUGAAGAGAGGAGCUUGCUCUUCUUGGAUGAGUUGCGAACGGGUGAGUAACGCGUAGGUAACCUGCCUUGUAGCGGGGGAUAACUAUUGGAAACGAUAGCUAAUACCGCAUAACAAUGGAUGACACAUGUCAUUUAUUUGAAAGGGGCAAUUGCUCCACUACAAGAUGGACCUGCGUUGUAUUAGCUAGUAGGUGAGGUAAUGGCUCACCUAGGCGACGAUACAUAGCCGACCUGAGAGGGUGAUCGGCCACACUGGGACUGAGACACGGCCCAGACUCCUACGGGAGGCAUCAGUAGGGAAUCUUCGGCAAUGGGGGCAACCCUGACCGAGCAACGCCGCGUGAGUGAAGAAGGUUUUCGGAUCGUAAAGCUCUGUUGUAAGUCAAGAACGGGUGUGAGAGUGGAAAGUUCACACUGUGACGGUAGCUUACCAGAAAGGGACGGCUAACUACGU